GACGAACGCUGGCGGCGUGCCUAAUACAUGCAAGUUGAGCGCUGAAGGUUGGUACUUGUACCAACUGGAUGAGCAGCGAACGGGUGAGUAACGCGUGGGGAAUCUGCCUUUGAGCGGGGGACAACAUUUGGAAACGAAUGCUAAUACCGCAUAAAAACUUUAAACACAAGUUUUAAGUUUGAAAGAUGCAAUUGCAUCACUCAAAGAUGAUCCCGCGUUGUAUUAGCUAGUUGGUGAGGUAAAGGCUCACCAAGGCGAUGAUACAUAGCCGACCUGAGAGGGUGAUCGGCCACAUUGGGACUGAGACACGGCCCAAACUCCUACGGGAGGCAGCAGUAGGGAAUCUUCGGCAAUGGACGAAAGUCUGACCGAGCAACGCCGCGUGAGUGAAGAAGGUUUUCGGAUCGUAAAACCCUGUUGGUAGAGAAGAACGUUGGUGAGAGUGGAAAGCUCAUCAAGUGACGGUAACUACCCAGAAAGGGGCGGCUAACUACGUG
rnacentral:rRNA from 1 species